rnacentral:rRNA from 1 species
AGCAGGCUGUUGCUGGCUUGAGUGCAUGUGCACGCUUGUUUCUAUCUUUAUUUCUCCCAACUGUGCACAACUUGUAGACCCUUUUUGAGGAUUGCUCGUGCUUCAAAAGCCAGCUUUGCUUCAGGUCUAUGUUUUUAACAAUCUCUGAAUGUAUUAGAAUGAUUAGAGUCUGGGGAAUAUACAUACAACUUUCAGCAACGGAUCUCUUGGCUCUCGCAUCGAUGAAGAACGCAGCGAAAUGCGAUAAGUAAUGUGAAUUGCAGAAUUCAGUGAAUCAUCGAAUCUUUGAACGCAUCUUGCGCUCCUUGGUAUUCCGAGGAGCAUGCCUGUUUGAGUGUCAUUUAAAACUUCUCAACUGCUCCAAAAUGGUGUGGCUUGGAAAUGGGGGAGUGUGCAGGCUUUAGUCUGCUCCCCUGAAAUGUAUUAGUGGUGUCUGGGCAGACUACUACAGGUGUGAUAACUAUCAACGCCUUGGUAUAUACUGCAGAUUGUUGCUGCUUCCAACCUAAUGACCAACUUGACCUCAAAUCAGGUAGGAUUACCCGCUGAACU